AGAGUUUGAUCAUGGCUCAGAGUGAACGCUGGCGGCGUGCUUAACACAUGCAAGUCGAACGAGAACGGCUCUAGCUUGCUAGAGUGUCAGCUAAGUGGCGGACGGGUGAGUAAUGUAUAGUUAAUUUGCCCCUUGGAGAGGGAUAGCCACUGGAAACGGUGAUUAAUACCUCAUACUCCUUCUAUGUUAAUCAUAGUUGGGAAACGUUUUUUCGCCAAGGGAUAAGAUUAUAUGGUAUCAGGUAGUUGGUGGGGUAAGAGCCUACCAAGCCAAUGACGCCUAGCUGGUCUGAGAGGAUGAUCAGCCACACUGGAACUGAGACACGGUCCAGACUCCUACGGGAGGCAGCAGUGGGGAAUAUUGCACAAUGGAGGAAACUCUGAUGCAGCAACGCCGCGUGGAGGAUGACGCAUUUCGGUGUGUAAACUCCUUUUAUAUGGGAAGAUAANGACGGUACCAU
rnacentral:rRNA from 1 species